rnacentral:rRNA from 2 species
CCUACGGGAGGCAGCAGUGGGGAAUAUUGGACAAUGGGCGAAAGCCUGAUCCAGCCAUGCCGCGUGAGUGAUGAAGGCCCUAGGGUUGUAAAGCUCUUUCAGCGGGGAAGAUAAUGACGGUACCCGCAGAAGAAGCCCCGGCUAACUUCGUGCCAGCAGCCGCGGUAAU